rnacentral:rRNA from 1 species
AUCCUGGCUCAGGAUGAACGCUAGCUACAGGCUUAACACAUGCAAGUCGAGGGGCAGCAUGAGACGGAGAUUCGUCGAAGUCUUGAUGGCGACCGGCGCAAGGGUGCGUAACGCGUGAGCAACUUGCCCGUUUCUGGGGAAUAACCGGUGGAAGCGCCGACUAAUACCCCAUAGUAUCAGAUUUAGGCAUCUUUAUCUGAUUAAAGAAUUUCGGAAACGGAUAGGCUCGCGUGACAUUAGCUAGUUGGCGGGGUAACGGCCCACCAAGGCGACGAUGCGUAGGGGUUCUGAGAGGAAGGUCCCCCACACUGGUACUGAGACACGGACCAGACUCCUACGGGAGGCAGCAGUGAGGAAUAUUGGUCAAUGGGCGAGAGCCUGAACCAGCCAAGUCGCGUGAGGGAAGACGGUCCUAUGGAUUGUAAACCUCUUUUGUCGGGGAGCAACGAGGCCACGCGUGGCCGCAGUGAGAGUACCCGAAGAAAAAGCAUCGGCUAACUCCGUG